UACGUAGGUGGCAAGCGUUAUCCGGAUUUAUUGGGCGUAAAGGGAACGCAGGCGGUCUUCUAAGUCUGAUGUGAAAGCCUUCGGCUUAACCGGAGUAGUGCAUUGGAAACUGGGAGACUUGAGUGCAGAAGAGGAGAGUGGAACUCCAUGUGUAGCGGUGAAAUGCGUAGAUAUAUGGAAGAACACCAGUGGCGAAAGCGGCUCUCUGGUCUGUAACUGACGCUGAGGGUCGAAAGCGUGGGUAGCAAACAGG
rnacentral:rRNA from 1 species